rnacentral:antisense_RNA from 1 species
CGAGUAGCGGUGGCUGAAGAACGAGCAGGAGCUUGAAUUUCAGUUUUCCUAUGAGGAAUUUUCCAGAAAAGAUAUCUUCACUGUGAAAUAACUAAAUAAAUGCCCACUCAGUACAACAAAAAUACCUGCUACAUGCUUCCUUCUGUAUGAAUACGAGACCUACCUUCAUUCAUGUUUCCUCUAUGAAGCUUUCCCUGAGCUCCAAACACAGAGCUGAGACUUCCACCUAAUGUAGAAAGCUAGCACGAGCCGGCGCUGACAGAUGGAAGACUUGAGAUGUUACAAGAUUAUAUAUGGAAACACAAAAGGAGUGGAGUUGCUGGGUCAUAUGGCAAUUCAUUUGAGGAACUGAGAAGCUUAUUCCAUGGAGGCUGAACUGUUUUAUAUUCCCACCAGCAACGUGUAAGGUUCCAGUUUCUCUACAUCAUCACCAACACUUGCUAUUUUCCAUUUCCUUAAUGAUAGCCAUCCUAGUGGAUUUGAAGUGGUACCUUAUCGUGGUUUUGAUUGCAUUCUCUAUUGACUAAUGAUAUUGAGCAUCUUUUCAUGUAUUUUUUGGUCAUUUGGUCAUUUUUCUUUUUUAAUUUUAAAAUUUUGAGACAGGCUCUCACUAUGUUGCCCAGGUGGUCUCAAACUCCUGGGUUCCAGCGAUGCUCAUGCCUCAGUCUCCCAAAGGGGUGGGAUUACAGGUGUGAGCCACUUUGCCCAGCCCAUUUGUAUAUCUCCUUUGGAGAAUAUCUAGGUUCUUUUGAAGGUAGCUGCAUAUAAACUAGCCAAAUUAACAGACUGUGGUUUUUAGACGGCUUUCCAUAUCUACAAGAACUAUUUAGUUCUCAAAACUGGGAAGAAAUGUUUCAGAGGCAUCAUUAAUUCAUAAUCUAAAAAUUUAUCUCAGGUUUCCUUUUUUCCCCCAGAUUCUGUAUCCUCCAUAGUCCUAUUCAUGACAUGGGUCGUUCAUCUCUGUAUUCUAAACCCUCAACGAACUGUAGACACUAAUAAAUAUUUAUUGGAUGAA